rnacentral:rRNA from 1 species
GCAAGUCGCGGGGUAAUGCUCUUUCGGGAGCACACGACCGGCGCACGGGUGCGUAACGCGUAUGCAACCUACCUAUAACAAGGGGAUAGCCCGGGGAAACCCGGAUUAAUACCCUAUAAAGCAGGGGUACUGCAUGGUACUAUUUGCUAAAGUUGAGGCGGUUAUAGAUGGGCAUGCGUUAGAUUAGCUAGUUGGUAAGGUAACGGCUUACCAAGGCGACGAUCUAUAGGGGUUCUGAGAGGAAGGUCCCCCACACUGGCACUGAGAUACGGGCCAGACUCCUACGGGAGGCAGCAGUAAGGAAUAUUGGUCAAUGGGCGAGAGCCUGAACCAGCCAUGCCGCGUGCAGGAAGACGGCCUUCUGGGUUGUAAACUGCUUUUAUACGGGAAGAAAAAGGUCUUGCGAGGCUACUUGCCGGUACCGUAUGAAUAAGCACCGGCUAACUCCGUGCCAGCAGCCGCGGUAAUACGGAGGGUGCAAGCGUUGUCCGGAUUUAUUGGGUUUAAAGGGUGUGUAGGCGGUAGUUUAAGUCAGUGGUGAAAGUCUUGAGCUUAACUGAGGAAGUGCCAUUGAAACUGGAUUACUAGAGUAUAGUCGAGGUAGGCGGAAUUUAUGGUGUAGCGGUGAAAUGCAUAGAUACCAUAAAGAACACCGAUAGCGAAGGCAGCUUACUAGGCUAUAACUGACGCUGAGGCACGAAAGCAUGGGUAUCGAACAGGAUUAGAUACCCUGGUAGUCCAUGCUGUAAA